CCACUAAUACUGGCUACUAAUGACGGUACCUGAAGAAGAAGCACCGGCUAACUACGUGCCAGCAGCCGCGGUAAUACGUAGGGUGCGAGCGUUAAUCGGGAAUUACUGGGCGUAAAGCGUGCGCAGGCGGUUCCAUAAGACAGAUGUGAAAUCCCCGGGGCUUUAACCUGGGAACUGCGUUUGUGACUGUGGGACUCGAGUGUGGCAGAGGGGGGUGGAAUUCCACGUGUAGCAGUGAAAUGCGUAGAGAUGUGGAGGAACACCGAUGGCGAAGGCAGCCCCCUGGGGUCAACACUGACGCUCAUGCCGAAAGCGUGGGGAGCAAACAGGAUUAGAUACCCUGGUAGUCCACGCCCUAAACGAUGCGAACUAGGUGUUGGGGAAGGAGACUUUCUUAGUACCGCAGCUAACGCGUGAAGUUCGCCGCCUGGGGAGUACGGUACGCAAGAUUAAAACUCAAAGGAAUUGACGGGGC
rnacentral:rRNA from 1 species